rnacentral:rRNA from 1 species
CAGCCGCCGCGGUAAUACCGAGGGUGCGAGCGUUAAUCGGAUUUACUGGGCGUAAAGCGUGCGUAGGCGGCUUUUUAAGUCGGAUGUGAAAUCCCUGAGCUUAACUUAGGAAUUGCAUUCGAUACUGGGAAGCUAGAGUAUGGGAGAGGAUGGUAGAAUUCCAGGUGUAGCGGUGAAAUGCGUAGAGAUCUGGAGGAAUACCGAUGGCGAAGGCAGCCAUCUGGCCUAAUACUGACGCUGAGGUACGAAAGCAUGGGGAGCAAACAGGAUUAGAUACCCCCGUAGUCCCUGUCUCUUAUAU